rnacentral:lncRNA from 1 species
CCCUUCUAUCCUGCACAAGUUACCACUGCGGUAAGGACAGCGUGAGUAGUUCCUCUUUUGAAGUCUGAGUGCUCCCGGAGCCGUGGAAGCAACAGUCAGCGUUCAUAUCCCUCCCUCGACUGCGGGCAGCCCACGAGGAGCCGUGUGUUUUAUUUUUUCCUCCAAGACACACCAGCGUGGUUGCAACUGCAAAGAAUGAUUGGACUUCAGGAGCCAGAAAAGAAGGACCAGAGGUGGGCAAAUGACCACUGCCUUUUGGCACCCCCGGCUCAUCCCCACGAUCCAGCAACUCAAGAGUUAACACAAGCUCCAGCAGGAUCCGCCAAGACUGGCUGAUGUCCAUUGGAACGAUUGAAGGACUGAACGUGAUGAAGAUCAAACCCAAUUCCAGGCAAGCAAAAGGGUUUCACUUCCUAGGGAGAAAUGUGCAGCCCAUUUGCCCACCAGCCCCUCAGAUAGGCCAGGAGUUUUGCCCACGACCAGCAGGCGAUCAUACUGAGGGGAGUUCCGAGAAAGCAUCAGAACCCGUCCGCUACUAAGGUGAGCAUGGGGGAAGAGCCCAGGCUCUGGGCUAAAAUAGAGGCCAAAAUAAAACAGC